GAUGCAGAAAAUAGAAGUACAGAAAUCAAAGCUUUGGUGUCCUUCCUUAUCUGCAGUCAGCCACACAUUCUAAGGUAACAAGUAAACACAAUUUUUUUGUAUUUCCUGCUUCUAACAUUUACCGUAAUCUCAAUAGUCUCUUAUCUAGCACUUUAUUGCAAGGGAAAGAUAUUGCUCUAUACCAUA